rnacentral:rRNA from 1 species
CCUACGGGAGGCUGCAGUGAGGAAUAUUAGUCAAUGGGCGGGAGCCUGAACCAGCCAAGUCGCGUGAGGGAAGACGGUCCUAUGGAUUGUACACCUCUUUAGGCGGGGAGCAAUGCCGGGCACGUGUGCACGGAGGGAGAGUACCCGCAGAAUAAGCAUCGGCUAACUCCGUGCCAGCAGCCGCGGUAAUACGGAGGAUGCGAGCGUUAUCCGGAUUUAUUGGGUUUACAGGGUGAGUAGGCGGAUUUUUAAGUCAGCGGUAAAAUGUCCGGGCUCAACCCGGGCCGGCCGUUGAAACUGGGGAUCUUGAGUGGGCGAGAAGGAUGCGGAAUGCGUGGUGUAGCGGUGAAAUGCAUAGAUAUCACGCAGAACUCCGAUUGCGAAGGCAGCAUACCGGCGCCCGACUGACGCUGAGGCACGAAAGCGUGGGGAUCGAACAGGAUUAGAUACCCGAGUAGUC